GCCUGGUUGGCUCAGUCGGUUAAGCGUCUGCCUUUGGCUUGGGUCAUGAUCCCAGAGUGGUGGGAUCGAGCCCCACAUCGGGCU
rnacentral:tRNA from 1 species